rnacentral:RNase_P_RNA from 2 species
AUACUCAGGUAAUCGCUGCAGUUGAUGCAGAGGAAAGUCCAUGCUCACACAAGCUGAGAUGUUUGUAGUGUUCGUGCUUGAUGAAUUCAUAAGUCAAGGUAACCAAUACGGUUAACGGCAGGAAAUAUUCCUAAGUCCAAUCGGAUAUGGAAUAUUAUACUUGAAAGUGCCACAGUGACGGAGCUGAAAUGGAAACAUUUCAGGUGGAACGAGGUAAACCCCACGAGUGAGCAACCCAAAUAAUGGUAGGGGCAUCCUUUAGUAGGGAAUUCAACCGAAAGAGGGACAAGGAACUCCUUGUAGAUAGAUGAUUACAACCUAAAGUACGAGGCUUGACCACCGUUAACAGUACGUAGGUACAGAACAUGGCUUAUCGAG